GGGGCCGUGGUCUAGCGGAAUGACGCCAGCCUCCUUCGGCGGAGGUCGCCGGUUCAAAUCCGGCCGGCCCCA
rnacentral:tRNA from 2 species